rnacentral:lncRNA from 1 species
AGGCCUACUUCCUUCUUUAUCUUUUUACACUGUCCAUUAAAUGAACAUGCAUGCAUGGCACCGUCCAAAGCUGUAGCUGACCUUUGCAUGCGGUGCGCAUGCACCCACCGUCCAAGCACCGUCAAGGCUAUAUGGUUGUCCCUUGCAUGGAAACAGUUACCAUUGACGCUUCCACGUUGCUCCUUUCCCUUUUACAUAGAGGUUAUUUUACCGCCACCGAUGUUUUGCAUGGAACGCAGCAGUACCACUUGAGGCCAUAGCAAGAACCUGUUUAUUGGCAGGGAAAAAAGUUAGCGAUAGUGCAAUUCAUAUUUUAGCCAUUGUGGUAAAUUUGCAUGCAUGUAAGUGUCCUCUCUGGGGCCAAUGUGGUAGAUUCGCAUGCAUGCACGUGUCCUCUCUUGGCUGUGUACAAAUUACAGACCUUUGUGCCUAGCAGCAAUGUAAAAAUAUGGCUACAGCCUCUAGCUCUUGCCUAUAUAAGCGCCUGGUCUGCUACUUGCUGCAUCAUCGCCUCCUUCCGUUCCUUGCAGCUAUGUACUAUUAAGUCAGCAAGAAAAGUUUCCCUCUUAGUGUUCCUGACUUUGUUAGACUAGAGCUGUAGCACAGGAGCCGUCCCAUUCUGUAGGGACUCAUAAUGUUGUGGGCAUAGCAGGGUACAUGCAAAGUGUGGCGUGGUAGGUGUGUGCUGCGAAACAGUUGUGGCCCAGGCUUAUGGCACAUGGAAGGCCCUUGCUCUAGUGGGACAAGGAAGAGGCGGCGUGGGAAGAGUGCAGCUUCAGUUCCAAGUGUCUAAUUGUUCUCCUUUCCCUUUCGUUCACUCUGUUCCUAGCCCUAAUUAGGCACUCCUCUCUUUGGCUCACCUCCCUGUCCUCCAUCUCUAGCUAUAGUCUGAUAAAAGCUGUAAACCAAGUGGGUAUGCUCGUGUUGUGGGUAACUGGGAGGCUGCCUUUUGUGUAGAUCCUAGAGAAUCUCGGGAAGGUUGCUUUGCU